rnacentral:rRNA from 1 species
UACGUAGGUGGCAAGCGUUGUCCGGAAUUAUUGGGCGUAAAGAGCGUGUAGGCGGCUCGGUAAGUCCGCUGUGAAAGUCCAGGGCUCAACCCUGGAAUGCCGGUGGAAACUGUCGAGCUCGAGUCCGGAAGAGGCGAGUGGAAUUCCUGGUGUAGCGGUGAAAUGCGCAGAUAUCAGGAGGAACACCAAUGGCGAAGGCAGCUCGCUGGGACGGUACUGACGCUGAGACGCGAAAGCGUGGGGAGCGAACAGG